rnacentral:lncRNA from 1 species
UUUGGAUGAGCUAAAUAUUCGAAGAUCCAGCAGGGGAGCUAAGUUAACAAUUGUCUCCAGAGCAUUUGUGACAAGUUCAUCAUCCUCUAUCAACAUUGUGAACAUUUGGAUUAUAAUAAAACAGUGAACAAACUCUUCUCGUGAUAGGGCAGCACAUAAUGGUGAUUAAAAGAGAAAAAAAACUUUCAUCACAGAUUUAGAGUUUCUAGAAACCUACAAAAAUCAGAUUCUUCCUUUUGUUUUAAAUAGUUCUCCUUUGAACUAAAUCCUGUUAGAAGCACAGUUGGAAUCUAAAUGCGGACACCUCUCUUUACAGGGACAAAAAAUCAACAUAAGACAUAAGAUGUUUGGAAUACACUUAAAUUUUAGGGAGUAGGUUUUAUCUAAACAGAAUUUGACAUAAAACUAAUUUAUAAAAGUCCAAUUCAAAGGUUGGUAUUGUUAUGAGGACAGGGUAUGAUAGGAUUUGUUACACAAUGAUACCUUAAACUCCAGACGAAACCAGUCAAUGUCUUUGCUCAUUUUUAAGCCAAAUGGAUUAGUCCACGUUUCCAGAAGUUCCAAAAGCUAUGAAGGAUAUGGUAGUACUAGUGCUUUUUUUUUAUCAAUGUAUGCACAUACUAUACAGAAUCAUUUAACCAUUAAUAUCAUGGUCACAUCCAUACUACGGGUUUAGUACCUCAUGGACUAAUAUAUUAACAAUAAACUAUAGGGACCUGUCCAACAUGAAACAUAAGGACCAUUUACGAGUGAUGAAUAAAAACUACGGAAAUCAAAACCAAAAUUACUGAAAAAAUUGUUUCGAAAACCCAACAUGCAUUUUUUUUUUUUUUUUGCAUCGAGUUUUUUCAUUAACGGAUUAAAAUAUAAGUUAGUCCACCAUCUUUUGUUUUACAGUAAAGAAAAAAGAGAUGAUUCCCUAUGCUCUUCUUUUUUAUUUGUAUAACAAUCAAAUAGCACUACCAAAGUGUUUCAAAGAAUAUAACAUAAUGGUAGGGACCUAAACCAAAUGAGAAAAUUAUUAGGAACAGAAACCAAAAAAAGUGGAAGCCAGAUGGAUAAAAUAUACUUUAAACCUAAAAAGAUAAUAGGUUAUAACAAGCAGAUAUCCUCACCUACAAGAUGAUCUUCUAUGCAUUGGAAGGCUGUUUCCAAACAAUGACGAUGUUGGGCCAUUAUAACUUCAUUAUCUGGCAUGAAAGAGAAGUUCCUGAUGAUAUUUGAAGCAGCAACAGCACAUUGCUG